rnacentral:siRNA from 1 species
CGGCUCAGCCGGAGGUAGGGUCCA